AUUAUCAUUUUAAUAGUAACAUCAGUAUGGCAGGAACAUGUCAUUAGUCUUAAGAGCAAAGUACGAAUCGGGUUUUAUUUCUUCCAUCUUAAGCAAGGCGACAUCACUCCGUUUGCAUUCAGCCGGUGAUUACAUGUCUAAUGAAAACUAUCUCAGUUGAAUUUCCAAAGUAAAUGCAAUUUAAAUAUCUAUUUAUCUGUCUUUGAGAGUGGCUUUGAGCUAUUAGUUCAUGUGAACAGGUCUGGCCUGUUAAUUUUCUGCCUCUCCUUGAGCUCAGACGCAGUCGGGGAGGGACAACGUUCCCCCAACGCCACCCUCAAACUCAGCAGUGGAGAUGAAUAAUGCAGUCAGACCAACCCCCGUCACACACACACACACACACACACACGGGUGGCAGGGCCUGGAGCGCCGCGGGUUCAAGUGUAUGCACUUGUGGGGCACCGCUAGUAUCAGCGCACAAUUAUCUGGGUCCCGGGGUCUCUUCCUGAUUGGUCUGGACUUUACGGCUGCUGGGACUUUUGCUUAAAACUCUUAACAAACAGAGGUAAAGAUGUGAUGGGGACGCUUGGGGCUUCCAGGCGCCCUCCUGCCUCACCUUCAUGCUUUAUCAUGUGAAAGUCUGCUAACCUCAUCAGACAAACACACAAACACACGCACACCACCCAUCAUGUCUCGCUCACAGGCAGCACAGUCUUAAAUCAAAGUGCGGCCGCAUGGCUGAUGGCUGUUUGACACCACUGAGCUCUUGUCACUACUGAGCCAAAGUUGCUGGUCUGGUGUCCUUGUCUUAUUCCCUCGUGUACAAUCACUUAAUCUGUCCACAGGGCACGGAUGCCCCUCUCACCACCGGGACGUGCAUACUAAACACGGCCUCAACAAUUACACACUCAAUGGCACGAUUCAUCACAAAUACACUUUACAAACAUGCAAUUUGCUACUUAUGUUUCCAAAACUGCUAUAAACUUUUUUUUUUUUUCUGCCAGUCUAAGAUAUGAUUAGCAGACUUACAAAAUGUCAUGAAAAUUACAGUAGGUGAAUCAGAAAUUGAAACGAUAAAGCUGUUUGUAUCAAGGUUAUUUUAGUUAACUGAAACUGAAAUUAAUACUAAAACCAUGUUCAUUACUUCAAAUAAAAUAAAUGUUAUAUAAACUGAAAUGAUACCU
ensembl:lncRNA